CUCGUAGGCGGUUCAACAAGUCGAUCGUGAAAGCCCGGGGCUCAACCCCGGGACGCCGGUCGAAACUGUUGUGACUAGGGUCCGGUAGAGGUGAGUGGAAUUCUCGGUGUAGCGGUGGAAUGCGCAGAUAUCGAGAGGAACACCGGUAGCGAAGGCGGCUCACUGGGCCGGUACCGACGCUGAGGAGCGAAAGCAUGGGGAGCAAACAGGAUUAGAUACCCUGGUAGUCC
rnacentral:rRNA from 1 species